GACGAACCGUCCAAACGUUAUUCGGAAUUACUGGGCUUAAAGGGUGCGUAGGCGGUGCUACAAGUCGGGUGUGAAAUCCCUCAGCUUAACUGAGGAACUGCGCCCGAAACUGUAGUGCUGGAGUGAGGCAGGGGUGAGCGGAACUGAUGGUGGAGCGGUGAAAUGUGUUGAUAUCAGCAGGAACACCGGAGGCGAAGGCGGCUCGCUGGACCGGAUCUGACGCUGAGGUGCGAAAGCGUGGGGAGCGAACAGG
rnacentral:rRNA from 1 species